AUAUGAUCCUUUUUCUCAAUGAAAGAAAUCACCACAUUAACACAUUAAUCUUCUCCUAAUUAGUAAUAAUCCAAUUUAGCUUUAAUAGUGCCUCAAUGAACAAGUUUGCUAUUAUUUUCUUCUUUCUUCUCUUCAUCAUGUCUAUUGUUGACAUAUUUGAAACUUCAAAAUUGAAAGUUAUGGGAGAUGAUGUGUGCGAUCAACCUUGUAACACAGACCUUGAUUGCUUUAGUAUGGCCAUUUUUGUUUGCCCUCUAUGUAAAGAGAAAACUAAUCCAAUUGAUGGCUUUACAACCAAGGCAUGUGGCUUCUUAUUUUGAUAUGAAGAAUAUCUAAACUUUUGGGACGGAGAAAAUAUACUUUCUCCGUCCCAAAAUGUACUUUGUAUUAUUUAUGUGUGUUUCUAAUAAAAUUGUGUUGUUGAUCUUUCUUCGAUACUGAUUAAGUUAUAAAGAAAAAAUUGUAUGAGUAGAAGUGUUAUUGUUGGCUUUGUGGUAAAUUAUUGAUGUAUUAUGUGUGCUCUAAAUUAAAUGUAUGGAUAUAUAAAGUUAUUUUCUU